rnacentral:rRNA from 1 species
AGUGAACGCUGGCGGUAGGCCUAACACAUGCAAGUCGAACGGGAGCACAGUAAGAGCUUGCUCUUACGGGUGGCGAGUGGCGGACGGGGGAGGAAUACAUCGGAAUCUACUUUGUCGUGGGGGAUAACGUAGGGAAACUUACGCUAAUACCGCAUACGACCUACGGGUGAAAGCAGGGGAGCUUCGGACCUUGCGCGAUUGAAUGAGCCGAUGUCGGAUUAGCUAGUUGGCGGGGGAAAGGCCCACCAAGGCGACGAUCCGUAGCUGGUCUGAGAGGAUGAUCAGCCACACUGGAACUGAGACACGGUCCAGACUCCUACGGGAGGCAGCAGUGGGGAAUAUUGGACAAUGGGCGCAAGCCUGAUCCAGCCAUACCGCGUGGGUGAAGAAGGCCUUCGGGUUGUAAAGCCCUUUUGUUGGGAAAGAAAAGCAGCAGGUUAAUACCCCGCUGUUCUGACGGUACCCAAAGAAUAAGCACCGGCUAACUUCGUG